GGAGGGAUGUCCGAGUGGUUGAUGGUGACUGUCUUGAAAACAGUUGAGCGAAUAGCUCCGGGGGUUCGAAUCCCUCUCCCUCCGCCA
rnacentral:tRNA from 1 species